UGGGGAAUAUUGGACAAUGGGCGAAAGCCUGAUCCAGCCAUGCCGCGUGAGUGAAGAAGGCCUUAGGGUUGUAAAGCUCUUUCAGCGGGGAAGAUAAUGACGGUACCCGCAGAAGAAGCCCCGGCUAACUCCGUGCCAGCAGCCGCGGUAAUACGGAGGGGGCUAGCGUUGUUCGGAAUUACUGGGCGUAAAGCGCGCGUAGGCGGACUUUCAAGUCAGGGGUGAAAUCCCGAGGCUUAACCUCGGAACUGCCUUUGAUACUGUUGGUCUUGAGUCCGGGAGAGGUGAGCGGAAUUCCUAGUGUAGAGGUGAAAUUCGUAGAUAUUAGGAAGAACACCAGUGGCGAAGGCGGCUCACUGGCCCGGUACUGACGCUGAGGCGCGAAAGCGUGGGGAGCAAACAGG
rnacentral:rRNA from 1 species